rnacentral:rRNA from 1 species
AGAUUGAACGCUGGCGGCAGGCCUAACACAUGCAAGUCGAGCGGCAGCGGGUCCUUCGGGAUGCCGGCGAGCGGCGGACGGGUGAGGAACACGUGGGAAUCUACCUAUUGGUGGGGGAUAACUUGGGGAAACUCAAGGUAAUACCGCAUUAGCCCUACGGGGGAAAGCAGGGGACCUUCGGGCCUUGCGCCGAUAGAUGAGCCCGCGUCGGAUUAGCUAGUUGGUAGGGUAAAGCCUACAAGGCGACGAUCCGUAGCUGGUCUGAGAGGAUGAUCAGCCACACUGGGACUGAGACACGGCCCAGACUCCUACGGGAGGCAGCAGUGGGGAAUAUUGGACAAGUGGGGGAAACCCUGGAUCCAGCCAUGCCGCGUGUGUGAAGAAGGCCUUAGGUUGUAAAGCACUUUCAGUGGGAGAAGGCUUCUGGCUAAUAUCAGGUAGUACUUGACGUUACCACAGAAGAAGCACGGCUAAUUCGUAGCCAGCAGCCGC